rnacentral:rRNA from 1 species
GACACGGUCCAAACUCCUACGGGAGGCAGCAGUGGGGAAUAUUGCACAAUGGGCGAAAGCCUGAUGCAGCAACGCCGCGUGAGUGAUGAAGGCCUUCGGGUCGUAAAACUCUGUCCUCAAGGAAGAUAAUGACGGUACUUGAGGAGGAAGCCCCGGCUAACUACGUGCCAGCAGCCGCGGUAAUACGUAGGGGGCUAGCGUUAUCCGGAUUUACUGGGCGUAAAGGGUGCGUAGGCGGUCUUUCAAGUCAGGAGUGAAAGGCUACGGCUCAACCGUAGUAAGCUCUUGAAACUGGGAGACUUGAGUGCAGGAGAGGAGAGUGGAAUUCCUAGUGUAGCGGUGAAAUGCGUAGAUAUUAGGAGGAACACCAGGUGCGAAGGCGGCUCUCUGGACUGUAACUGACGCUGAGGCACGAAAGCGUGGGGAGCAAACAGGAUUAGAUACCCUGGUAGUCCACGCUGUAAACGAUGAGUACUAGGUGUCGGGGGUUACCCCCCUC